rnacentral:tRNA from 1 species
GGAGAAAUACUCAAGUGGCUGAAGAGGCGCCCCUGCUAAGGGCGUAGGUUGGGCAACCGGCGCCCGGGUUCAAAUCCCGGUUUCUCCG